GUGGGAGGGGGCUCCGGCACUGCGCGCUCGACUGCCGGGCUGGGACAGAGCACCGGGACUCGCGGCGGCAGCGGCAGCGACGCUACCCACCCUCUUCCCCAACACCCACCGAGCCAGCGAGCCACCGAGCCACAGGCCCUCGGGACGCCGAAGGGAGCCUGAUUGUGUGCUGCGGCCGUGGAGUGACUCUGGCUCUUGUCUUCCGGCAGGCGCCUCUGUUCCUGCCCAGCUGGAUUUGGGGGGCAGCACUGCCUGGCGCAGGGAGAUCAAAUGAGACUGCAAAGAAUCAUAACAUGAACAGAGAAUUCAACCAACUAAAGGUAUUAUGCCAUUACCCAGAUGCCACCAGGAGAGAUGAAGGCAAGACACCAGAUACUGACUCAUCAUGGCCACUUUCCCAUAGGGCUGCUACAAUUUGCUGGGGAUCUGUUCCAAUUGUAGUUGCCUUGGUUUUUCCCAUUCCCAGAGGUACCGCCAGUGAAGGCUGCAAGACAGCAAUUAUGGCAGCCUGCUCCUUCCUCUGGAAGCUCUGUCCCUGGGUGGCACUGACCUUAUGCCAGCCGGAACAUGCAUGUAGGAUGUGGCUGGAGACUCCUGCUGGGAAGUCUCACCUAGUCAGCAGAUGGUCCCCUGACCCUGCUUGGAGUAAUUUGAGAAUGGAGUAGAGGUUGAGGAUGAAAACUUAGAAGAGAAUAAUCCAUGAAAAUGAGAAGAAAUGGUGGAAGAAAUAGGAGGUAAACUUCAAGAGUAUUGCUGUGGAAUAGGAGAGAAUUUGAAGAAAGAUCAAUAAUAUAUAACAUGCAAUCAGCAAGACAAAUUAGAUCAGAGCUAGAAAGUGUCAUUGGGCAUGGUUAUCAGUUCACUGGUAAGACUGAGAACUUUCCCUCCAUAUUUCCCUCUUAAGAAGAUCUAUUACUUCUUAUUGUUGGUACUUCAUCUAACUAUGUCUAGAGAUAUUUACAUUUUCCUCAUAUUUCUCCCUGUCCCAUAGAAAUAGUUAAAAAUUUGAUUUUGAGAAGGUCAUUUUGGUCAUGCAUGGUGGCUCAUGCUGGUAAUCCCAUCACUUUGGGAGGCCAAGGUGGGUGAAUCACUUGAGGUCAGGAGUUCAAAACCAGCCUGUUUCAGUAUGAAAUCUGUCUCUAUUACAAGUACAAAAAUUAGCUGGGCAUGGUGGUGUGCACCUGCAGUCCCAGCUUCUCGGGAGGUUGCUUGAGCUUGGGAGACAGAAGUUGCCUGAGCCAAGAUCAGAUCACAGCACUUCAGCCUGUUCGACAAAGUGAGACCCCAUCUCAAAAAAAAAAAAAAAAGAAAGAAAGAAAGUCAUUUCUCCAUAGCUUACCUUCAUAGGCAUUGAAUUUAAAACACCGGAUGGCUAUGAAUGGCAGACUCACAAGUUUCUUACAAAUGCUCGACAUACUAUAGGAUUUGACUCUUUCAAUAUGGAAAGCUUAAUUUGUUUCAACAAAUGCUGCUCAUUGAUAAAGUCAGUAAAAUACUUUGUACUGAAAAUGCUACCACCCAUGAUAAUUGAACUUGAAAAGAAGAAUUGAACUACAACUUAAGAAAACCUCUGUGCCUAUAUUUAAAUGUAAGCAAACAAAAUUCUCAAAAUUCUAGUUUAAGCUGGAGGUAGUUAAUUCAUUGUCGUGGAUUAUUUAAAUGCUUUCAAAAUAAAAAUAAACAGACUCUGCUUUGAAGUCAUGCCGGCUUUGCAGGCACCAAUGGUAAGUGAUAUCAGCAUCUUUUCAACAUGCUGAAAUGUACAUAUCUGAUUCCUGUUGGCUUUUACUGAGUUUGAGUCUCACAGCACAGAAGCUUAAUCAAAACUAGUGCUAAAAUUUCCACAUAACUGACUGUCAAUUAUAGAUGUUUAUAUUGUAAUCUCUAGCAGCUCCAAUUUCUUCCUGUAAUGUAAAGCAUUUAUUCUAAACUGAAUUCUAAACCUAAUUAACUCUUCUUCAGACAUUGUCUUAUUCUUAUAUUAACUAAUGUAUUUAUCUUAAAUUAGAGGUCCAGUUUGACAGUCCUGGAGAUCACUUGGAAAUGUUAUGAUAAUAAAAAUAAAUAACAAUUGAGCAUCUA